rnacentral:rRNA from 1 species
UGGGGAAUAUUGCACAAUGGGCGCAAUCCUGAUGCAGCCAUGCCGCGUGUAUGAAGAAGGCCUUCGUGUUGUAAAGUACUUUCAGCGGGGAGGAAGGGAGUAAAGUUAAUACCUUUGCCCAUUGACGUUACCCGCAGAAGAAGCACCGGCUAACUCCGUGCCAGCAGCCGCGGUAAUACGGAGGGUGCAAGCGUUAAUCGGAAUUACUGGGCGUAAAGCGCACGCAGGCGGUUUGUUAAGUCAGAUGUGUAAUCCCCGGGCUCAACCUGGGAACUGCAUCUGAUACUGGCAAGCUUGAGUCUCGUAGAGGGGGGUAGAAUUCCAGGUGUAGCGGUGGAAUGCGUAGAGAUCUGGAGGAAUACCGGUGGCGAAGGCGGCCCCCUGGACGAAGACUGACGCUCAGGUGCGAAAGCGUGGGGAGCAAACAGG